GUGGGUGGGGUAUGAUGAAAAGAAUGUCUCAGAAUAAGAGAGUGCCCCAACGAGACAAAGCUGCCUUUCCAGUUCUGAUCAACAAAUUAAUUACGGAAAAUCUGUUGCUUGUCGAUACUCUAAAAGCAGUGUAUUUUUGGAAUUAAGAGGAGUUGUAUAAACUAAAAUGACAAAAGAAGUGUAGGAAAGUGAGGAAGUAGUCAACUGUUGAGGUAUUUCAACAACACCACUCAAUCAAUCCAAUAUCUCUUUUUCCAUUUUUACCUUGUCGUAAUUGCGGCACUUCUUCUUCAUCAGCUUAUAAGGUUAGAUUUCUGAUUAUUUUUUUGAAUCUGAAUCUGAAUCUGAAUUUGUGCUAUUUGGGGAUGGAUAUAGGGUUUUGCUGCCAUUGUUUCUGUUUAUGCUAAUUUUUUUUAUUUCUUUCCAUCUUUUACAUUUCAAUAUUGGGUAAGUUAAAAUUGUUUCUUUUCCAAGGAUUUGUAUAUUGAUAUUAGUAGAAAAGGGUAAUUACUGUUUCAUGCUCCUUAAAUUACCUGCAAAAUUGUUCUAUAUGCUAACUUGAUAUGUAGCUCAAAAAUACCUAUUGACUAGUUAAUGAAAAGUCUAGAAAACCACAUGACUACUUCUUUACUAGUCUCCUCUUAUUGACUCUAUUUGGCUGAUUAUUGAUCCGUCCAACCCAUUUCAACCCAAAUCGAAAGAAAAAAUCCAAGAUAGUCCUUUAUUUUUGGCUUUAGAUUCGAAAUCAUCAAUUGAUGCACUAAUAGUCCUCCAAAGUUUUAAGUAUUAGUGCACUUUUAUCUGAUGCUAAUUUGAGAUAUUGAUACACGAAGACUAAGUAUGUAUUAUAUUUUUCCUUUUUUCUUGUUUUUAUUUUAUUCUUUGGUUAUGCUCCAGAUAUAUAGGCAAAGCACAAGAAACUUUUAUUCCGGAAAAACCCAAAGACUUAUAGUCAGCUUAUUAAUUGCUUAUGGAAAAUAGAAGAGAAAGUUAAAGAAUUAGCAAAUUUUGAAUGGUGCACACCAAACAUUGAAGAUGCAGAGCCAAAAAAUAAAACAAGUACAAAUGAAGACUCAUCUGCAAUUGCUAAGAUAAAUCUAACAAUUAAUAUGUUUUGUACCAGAACGUAGACAGUGGAGGUUAUAAAUGGGUGUGUAAAGGAUCAAAACGUUAAUGAGUAAAUGGAUGUUAAUGAAGAGACUAAAAAUGCACUGACACUUGAAACUUAAAGAACUAUUAGUGCACUAUAUAAAAGAAAGGGAAGGGAUGACUUUGAGUCUGAAGCCAAACAUAAGGAACUAUUUUGAAUCUUUUCCAAACAAUGUUAAGCUCAAACACAAUGUUAUAAAAAGGUAAGAUAAGAACUAAUGUCACAAUAUUACAGGUAAAUCGUUUUUUUUUCCUGUUUUUCAAUUUUUAUCACUAUAAUAUUCUGUAUGUCAAACUCUAAGAUCCUCAUCCAUUGGUAUGGUAUAGAAGUAGUGUUCAAUUUGCUCGACUGCAUUAUCCUCACCCUGAGUCUCGUUUCCUCUCUUUAUUGGAACUAGGCUCUCCUUGUAAUUGAAAACCCAACAGCCAGAAAAGAUAAGGUCCAGCUGAAAUCCAAGAUCUGUAACUUGUCUUGUUUCAGGGUUAUAUAGCACUAGCUGUGAAGUUUCUGUGAUCUCGAAAACCAUCUUAUCGUUAUCCCAGAUGUUGUAAGGCCAAUGAGCAUCUAUAUGAGGUUGAAGAGUAAGAACUUUGGACCAAUUUCCCCCUUGUUUCAUUACCCACACAUCGUAUAUGGAUGUCAUUGGUUUGCCAGGGUCACCGGUUAAUAUAGCAAGUGAGCCGCCAUGCAAUGUAAGCUUCCCCCAAUGUUCACUUGGAAUAUCUGGGACUUGCAUCUCCCCAAACUGUUCGCUGCCCAUGUCAAAAGAGUGAAUCGUGUAGAUGUCAUCAAGGCCCAUAGAAAGCCCAUAAUAAACCCCGUUGAGAUAAGUGGCGUCAAGGGGUGCAGAUAAGGUAGAACUGGGAGGGAAUUCAGGAGUAAGGUGUUUCCAUGAAUUGUUGCAUGAGGAAUAGACAUAGGCAUAGACACGAUUAUUAGCACCUUGUCCCGGUUCAUCCCAGAACACUCGAAUCCAUACAACCUUAAAAUCUUGAGUCAACAGGUCAAAUCCCAAUCCGAACUGAUGAUCAUGGUUCGGGAAAAAGGCCUCAAUCUCAAUAGGCGCAGGAGGCAGAGACCUGAACUCUCUAGUGGCAGGAUUCCACAAACCCAAGCAGAUAUCGUCUCCAAACUUCUUCUGCACUAAGAAUAAGCGAUCAACUGGACCAGCAAGACACGUGAAAUCAGUGAUCCUCGGAAGCUGAAGGAGAGUUUUUUGUUCAGGGGUCACACCUGGAACAAUUUCUUCAGGGAGCAAGGAGAAUACAACAGACCUUACGAUGGGGAGUACUUCACAUGCUACUUUCAAGUUGCAAACAAGGAGACGGGCACAAUUGUUCUUGUGAUGAAAAUGUUUUUCUAUGAAACUCGAACUUUUGAUGAGAGCAUACUAGUGCUUGCACACACAUUUGAAACACAAGAGUGAUUCCACUGGCAAUCUCAAUAGAAUAUCAACUACUAGAUCUUUUGGUAAAGGACGGCGACCAUCCAUACUAGUGGAAAUAUAAGUAAAAUGAGACAACUUACAAACAUAUUGAAAGAGAACAGAUCUAGAAACAUGCUUUAAUAGAACACGCAGUGCAACGAAGAAGAUCAAGCAGCAUCAUUACCAUGUGAAACAAAAAAGGGGAAGUUGCACAUUUGAUCACUCAGCCACAAAUAUUUACAUCAGCAAGCCAAUACACAUAUAUUAUGGGUAUACAUAUUUUUAAAAAUAUUUUGACAAUUUCUUGUAGAUCAAUUUGGGAGAAAAGAUCCAAAAUAGUUCCUCAUGUUUGGCUUCAGACUCAAAGGAUGGAGUAAUAAGUACUUAUUCAUUGUUAAUUAGAGUUCUCGGGUUUGAGUCUUUUUGGCUAUGAAGUCAUCUGUGUUAGGGAGCGCUUUACCCACAAUGUGAGAUUAUUCAGCACAAAUUCAAAUUUAGUGGGGGAUCUAAUAUGGAUACCAAACACCGAGUGGAAAACCAAAAAUAAAAAUAAAAAUGACCUUAGGGGUCAUUUGAUAGGUGGAUAAAGCUACAUUUAAUACAUGAAUAACAAAGUUAUUUAUGUAUUUAAUUUAUAUAAUAUUUUGUUUGUAAAAUGUUGUAUAAAAGUUAUUCGUGUAUUAACAAAGAUGUUUAUCUCUACGAUAUGUUCCCGCAGGAGAAAGAGUUUGUUAUUUGAAGAGGGGGGGGGGGUAUUUGGAGUCUUUUAGCCACAGUUCGAAGCCCUGGCGUAUCUCUUUUAGCCACGGUUCAAGGCCCCAACAUAUUUUUUUGGCACGGUUCGAGGCCCCAACAUAUCUCUAUUCGCCUUGGUUUGAAUCCUAACAUGUGGUUCAUUUGGGUUCUUCGGGUGCCUUCGCCAUAAUUCAAGUCUGGAGUCGGCCAUUUCAGUUCUUGAAAGCUUUUAAUCUAGCUAAUGUUAUUCAUAGUACUUCCGUGUACUUAUCGGACUUAUGUGAGUCCAAACUUGUUUGAGUUAUAUAUUUACUUUCUAAUUGUGCACGAGUAUACAUACUUUCUGGGCUUAUAGAGGUCCAAUUAGGUUAUAGAUUAUUGCUUUACUUUACUACUUUGUUCUUUUUAGACUCGUGAGCUAUAUAGUUAGACUUUCCGUUAUUGCUUUGUUCAUUUGACCUCUAAUUAUUGUUACUUUCAUAUUCUUCAUAUUGUUUUUACUUUCCAAGCUCAGUCGACCUAUGAUGCCUACUGGGCACCUGUUGUUCUGAUAUUCAUGCUACACUCCACAUCUGCUUUCUUGAUGUAGAUUUGAGCGCCUGCCGACAACAGUGAUUCGAGCCUAAGUAAUGCGGAGAUCUUCUGAGAUGAAGGGUGACCUAAUGGCGUCCUAGUUCGACUUAUCUCCAUAUGUAUAUAAUUUUUUCCUAUCUUUUGUAUUCGAGACAAGUUUAUUA
rnacentral:lncRNA from 1 species